GAACGCACCUUGCGCCCCUUGGAUAUUCCGAAGGGCAUGCCUGUUUGAGUAUCAUGAACACCUCAACUCUCGUGGUCUUCCAUGAUGAGCUUGGACUUUGGGGGUUUGCUGGCCCUGUGGCCGGCUCCUCUCAAACGAAUCAGCUUGCCAGUGUUUGGCGGCGUCACGGGUGUGAUAACCAUCUACGCUUGCGAUCGCCUGCCAGAUAACCCUCAGCGAUGAAGGUUCAUUGGGGCUUACAAAAGUCUCUCCACAGCGAGGACGAAUUUUGAAUGUUCGAUCUCAAAUCAGGUAGGACUACCCGCUGAACUUAAG
rnacentral:misc_RNA from 1 species